UUAAUGUUUAUUUGUGUUAAGGAAGUAGGAUGGUGUAAAAGUGCAGAGACAUAUGCAUUUGAGCCCUUGUUUCUCUACUGUUCACAUUCAUAUAGAAUAAGGAGAUGGAUGAAGUAACAUGAAGGGGAGUGGAAAAAAUGGAUAUAAAUAUACCUGAAGUGGCUAGAUCCUCUUAAGUCACUAAAGGAUGGGCUGAAAUUCUUGGCCUAAUUCACAUUCAUGUAAGAGCCUCAGCCAAUUAUGUUCCCUUGAACUGUUCUAGCCCUUGAAUAAGGGAAGUGGACAACAUUUAUAUUACAAGACAUCAAUCUUUUAUUGUAACUUUGUCUAAAACUAUGCACAGAGAGAGUAACCUCUUGUUCAUAAAUUAGGAUAAAUCUAACACCAAUAAACCAGUAUUAUUUACAAAAAUGAACCUUUUUUUGCUUUAUCAUCAGGUUCACAAAGCUAACUAAGUCUUAAACCCAAAUAUAGUUUGACUUUUAAAAUCUUCCUGCUAUCAAUUGCCCAGCAACUCUUAUAGGGUCAGAGCAGCUUUCGGACAGGAAUACUCAUCAUUCACCAGGAAUGUUAAAGCCACAGCAAACAA